rnacentral:rRNA from 1 species
AUGAAUACAAGUUUAUUGAAGAAUUGCAUAGUAAGAAACUUGGUAAACACAUGCCCUAAUUGGAUGAAAUACAAGUUCAUUGACGAAUUACAUUUUGAUGUGAUUCAGGGUCACAUUAUGAGAGCUGGUUUUGCAGAUUUAGUUACUCGGUUUCUAAUUGUAUCAGUUUUCGUACAGCACCAUUUACUUUGUCAAUUGGUUUCAUUGGAAAUUUUGGCAAAAAAUAUUAACCGUAUACAUGGGCAUCAACGCUCAGUGGUACACGUAGAAACAGCUACCCCUGCAACACCUGAAAUUUUCUUUCAUCCAUGUUCAUGA